UAGAAAGACGGGACACGACCCCGCACCUAAAGACUCAAAACCUUUAGCACUCCUUUAUACUACUUCCU
rnacentral:tRNA from 1 species